rnacentral:misc_RNA from 1 species
AAACUUUCAGUUGUAUAGGUGAGAGUUGUAGUACUUUUCUGUUGCUAUUUGUUAGUUAAAUGCGAGAGAUUAGGACACCAAUACUGGUCAACUUUUUUAAUGGUGUUUGCUCACAGAUGAAUUAGGUGCAAUAAAAUGCUUGCAUCAUUUCAAUGGACAUCAAUAUAUAUCAACAGCAUAAAUGAACUUGGUAGCUUCCCAUCCCUUUAGCUUUUGGAAAGUCGGUUUCAUUGUUUCUGUGUUCUAGGAAG